AGACUCCGUCUCAAAAAUAAAUAAAUAAAUAACUAAAUAAACAGUGAAAUAUCUGGAAAGCGUUUUGUUUUUUGUUUUGUUUUGUUUUGUUUUCCUCUGUAGAGACUUUGGUUUCCUUCAGGGCUGACAUUCAAAAUACUGUUAACAACCUUUGAGUUUGGCCCCUGGUCGUGACUAGCCUGACUACACAGAGGCAGAAUAUGAGCCCUGGCUUUCUGUGACACUCAACCCAGACACUUUGGUAAUGCUGUUCCCUCUCCACACCACAAAAGCGCAAAGAGCCCUUGCUGAGCACCAGGAGGCAGUGGUGUUCUCUGUGUGCACACAUAUUCUGCACCUGUGUAUGUGUGUUUUGCAAUGUGCUGCAGUAGGAAAGGGUGAGAGGGCAGACUUUCCUAGACUCUGUUCUUAGACAUAAUCCAUCACGGGCUGUGAUGGUGAAUCUUAUGUGUCAACUUGACUGGGCCACAGGGUGCCUGUGAUAUCCUGAGAUAUUCAGUCAAACAUUCUCCUGGGUGUGUCUGUAAGGGUGUUUUGGGAGAGAU
rnacentral:lncRNA from 10 species